CUCCCUCUUUUUUACUCUUGGAGUCUUUCACGAAACUUGCCAAAAGGAGAAAAAAGCCACAUGAAAAGUAUAAGGUUACAAACAACCACCUCUAGCCAUAAGCCCAACUACCAUCUGAGUCCAACCGCAUAGGAGGUCAGAAGAAAGAUCAGAAAACAACCAGAAAGAAACUGCAGUAAUUCCAGUGAAAGAAACCUCAUUCCUGAGCUACUGACAGAAUUCUACUACCACCUACACUUGGAAAACCAUUUGGCUAAGAUAAAAAAUAAUUUAAUAUUGGGGCAGGUUUUAAUUCCUUUGGAAUUUCAGCACACAAAGCAAUAUAAUUACAUCAAGAAAAACUCUCCCUAACCAUGGUUUGCCUCUGCUCUGUCACCACAACAAUAAUCAUCAACACACAAGAAGACUUCUGUGGCCAAAUAUGUGUGGGAUUUUCCC